rnacentral:lncRNA from 1 species
UGCUUGUUAUUCUAUAAGUUUUUCUGUAUACAGCUCUUCUAUUGAUGAUUAAUUCUACCCCAUGGGUUAGUUUUUCAUACAACUAUCAUGAGAUCAGUUUAUCACUGCUUUAUCUUUAGCGGCUCUAUGUUCCAAUCAGCUAUAGAUUUAAGGCCUUACUUCUUACUAUGUUUGGGAUAGUCAAACUCUCUUAUCAUGCC